UCGCACAAUUCAUUGUCCUGCUCUGUGUACUUUGAGGAGUUGUGAUAUUUCUGUUGUGCUAGAAAAAAACUGGAGGUAAAUUAGCAGAAUGACUGUCAGUGUCAUCUUUGCCAGUCCCCUUCAUACAUGA
rnacentral:snoRNA from 1 species